UACGAAGGGGCUAGCGUUGCUCGGAAUCACUGGGCGUAAAGGGUGCGUAGGCGGGUCUUUAAGUCAGGGGUGAAAUCCUGGAGCUCAACUCCAGAACUGCCUUUGAUACUGAAGAUCUUGAGUUCGGGAGAGGUGAGUGGAACUGCGAGUGUAGAGGUGAAAUUCGUAGAUAUUCGCAAGAACACCAGUGGCGAAGGCGGACUCACUGGCCCGAGUACUGACGCUGAGGUGCGAAAGCGUGGGGAGCAACAGGG
rnacentral:rRNA from 1 species